CAGAGUUACUACUCCAAACCCAUUGUGAACCUUACCUAUGUUCUGUUGCCUCGGCGGCGUCGGUCAGCGCCCCCUCUGAAAAGAGGACGAUGCCCCUCCCGCCGGCAGCACCAAACUCUUGGAUUUUACAGCGGAUUACAGUUCUGAUUUGAAAACAAAAACAAGUUA
rnacentral:misc_RNA from 1 species